rnacentral:rRNA from 1 species
UACGUAGGGUGCGAGCGUUGUCCGGAUUUAUUGGGCGUAAAGAGCGUGUAGGCGGCUAGGUAGGUCCGUUGUGAAAAACUCGAGGCUCAACCUCGAGACGUCGAUGGAAACCAUCUAGCUAGAGUCCGGAAGAGGAGAGUGGAAUUCCUGGUGUAGCGGUGAAAUGCGCAGGAUAUCAGGAAGAACACCCGUGGCGAAGGCGGCUCUCUGGGACGGUACUGACGCUGAGGCGCGAGGCGUGGGGAGCGAACGGG